rnacentral:rRNA from 1 species
UUAAUGAACCUGGGGCUACACACGUGCUACAAUGGACGGUACAAAGAGCUGCAAGACCGCGAGGUGGAGCUAAUCUCAUAAAACCGUUCUCAGUUCGGAUUGUAGGCUGCAACUCGCCUACAUGAAGCUGGAAUCGCUAGUAAUCGCGGAUCAGCAUGCCGCGGUGAAUACGUUCCCGGGCCUUGUACACACCGCCCGUCACACCACGAGAGUUUGUAACACCCGAAGUCGGUGGGGUAACCUUUUUGGAGCCAGCCGCCUAAGGUGGGACAGAUGAUUGGGGUGAAGUCGUAACAAGGUAGCCGUAUCGGAAGGUGCGGUUGGAUCACCUCC